ACGGGAGGCAGCAGUGGGGAAUAUUGGGCAAUGGGCGAAAGCCUGACCCAGCAACGCCGCGUGAAGGAAGAAGGUCUUCGGAUUGUAAACUUCUUUUAUGAGGGACGAAGGAAUUGACGGUACCUCAUGAAUAAGCCACGGCUAACUACGUGCCAGCAGCCGCGGUAAUACGUAGGUGGCGAGCGUUGUCCGGAUUUACUGGGUGUAAAGGGCGAGUAGGCGGGAAUGCAAGUCAGAUGUGAAAUACCGAGGCUUAACCUCGGAGCUGCAUUUGAAACUGUAUUUCUUGAGUGAUGGAGAGGCAGGCGGAAUUCCCGGUGUAGCGGUGAAAUGCAUAGAGAUCGGGAGGAACACCAGUGGCGAAGGCGGCCUGCUGGACAUUAACUGACGCUGAGGCGCGAAAGUGUGGGGAGCAAACAGGAUUAGAUACCCUGGUA
rnacentral:rRNA from 1 species